AACAGCUUUAAGAUUACAUAUAAGGAAUUAUUUCCCAGCAAGGAUUGGUUCUGGAAAUUUUGGUUCCUUGUUCUUUAACUGUUAUGGGAAUCUUGAAGAGACUUCUAAUGUUACAACCUCUUAAAUUUCUGUAUAGUACUGUAUCAUUUAUAUUAGCAAAAUUGAGUUCAUAACAUCAGAGACUGAUGUCACAAAGUUAAUGAAGUGAGUCUGAGACAUUGGGAGAUGAAUAUACUGUAGGUACAGUAUCAGGAAAACUAACUUGGCAACCUCGUGACUGAAUGGAAGUACAGAUUUAGCUUUUAUGUCUGUUGUUUGAGCCCGUUGGCCAGGCAUCAAGACCAGCAUUGGGCUGAGCUGUUCACCAGAGUUUCCAAAGUGUACUUACUGAGUUUGUCUGCUGUAAAUGUAAAAUCUUCGAGUCCAGGCUUGGCGGCACAGAAGACUUUCAGACAGCACAGUGAGUGGAGAUGAGAUGAGCUGGCUAAAGCACAGAGAAGUUAAGUAUUCAGCUGAGGAACAGACGUCAAAACUGAAAUCAAGACACACUAUGUUACAGAUGGAAGAUUUCAAGUGCUCAGCAUCUGGAAAGUGUCUAGUUUUGCCGAAACCAGAACAUCUGAUGGAGUCUUGAUUUGCCUUGUAGAUUAUAUUUUGCUUAAAAUGGAGGAAUCAUGGGUAGGAGCUGUUGUACUUGAUUUCUAUCAAUAAGAGACAGGAAAAUUCAUGGAUAAUGGGAGCAUCAUGAGAACUUGAGAGAGAAACAAGGAAACUAAAACAUGUCACCCAGAGACUAGAUGAUGAAAAAAGGUAAAAUUGGGCAUAAUCAGAGAAGACCCUUAGAUUUGAAGAACAUGGAUUAAAUACAAACAUUAAAAUAUAUGGACAUUUCCAUGAA